CUCUGGGCGGGGGCCGGCCGGGCGCCGCCUCCUCCUUCGCCGCCGCCUCCUCGCGGUGCAGCGUGAGUAGGGAGCCCCGGCUGGUGGACGCCGAGUCUCUGGGCUCCGCGGCGGCCGCCUCGUUCCCGAGGUGCAGGCGCACCUCCGCGUGGCGCCCCGAGCCCGGCGAGCCGGCUUGCGGGCACGUCCCGAGACCCCACGCCGCCAUCCCCGGUCCCCCUCCCUGCCGACCCUCCUGCCUAUCCUUCCUUGAUUCUUCCCUCGGAAAAAUGGUUCCCGCUGCGGGCGAGGCUUGGGGGAAAGAGAUGCUGUAGUGACAGCUGAGCUGAUGAGAUAUCCCUGCUUUCUUUGCAGCCUUCUCAAGUCCAGAUUUUAAGGUACACUAUCUCUUUAGGCAGAGGAUAAUUCUUUAUCCAUAGAACACAAGAGAAAAGGAUGCAGCUUUUAAAUAAUGGGUAAAUUAACAUAGAUAUUACCUAAUACAGAUUUUAAUUACAGACCACAAGCUAUUAUUGCUGUUUUAUCUUCAUUUAAAUUUUAAUUCAACAUUUGUGAGUUCUUCUGACUACUGUAAAACGUUAGAUGUUGAGCUGUAGAUAAGUGUUAAGCUAUAAUUAAACAAAAAAUCCAUUUGAGAUGUUAGAUUGUUUAUGCCUUCACUGCUACAAGGCCUCCUUAAAGCCAUAGUAUAUGGAUGGCCCUAGUAACCUGGGACACCUAAAACCACUAAGUUGAUGCAUGAAGAAUAAUUAAUACAUUGUUAAGUAUAUUUUGAUAAAAUUCUUUACUUGGGGAUUCAGUUGACUAAUUUCCUCGGGCAAACUUGUUAACUUCAUUUUGAAUGAAACAGUCUCUUAUGGGAAAAGAGUACUACAAGGAUUUAUCAUGCAACAAAACUAUUAUAAUAUUGAACAUCAAAAACAUUUGACAAUUUCCUAUAUUUUAUACAUAUAAGGUUUAAACUGGCAUUUUCAUCAUGGAAUUUGUAAUUAAUAUGAAAAAACAGGAAGAAUAAGGAUCAGGAAGCAGAGAUUUAAGUUUCUGCAUGUCGUGUAAAAAUACUUGAUUAGUUUGAAGGAAAAAUGAUUUUCUGGUAAAUGUCUUAUAGAAAGGUGCUAUUAAUAGCUUGUUGGGAUUUACAGACUCUGAGGUAACAUUACAAGGAAAAUGAUAUACAAGGAGCAUUUUUUAAAAGAAGUGACAAUUUCUUGGCUUUUAGAAAUGGUACUUAUACUCACACACCAAAUACACUGUUUAUUAUUAAAGUUUUUGUUAUAGAAAUUGCCAAUGCCUGGGCGGUGGUCCCAGCACUCUAGAGGCAGAGGCAGUCGGAUCUCUGUGAGUUCAAGACCAGCCUGGUCUAUAAGAGGUAGUUCCCGAACAGCCUUCAAAGCCACAGAGAAACCCUGUCUCGAAAAACAAAACAAAAAAACAAUAAAACAAAAGAAAAAUGCCAAUGAAAACAGACUAACAAAAUUAAAUGACCAUUUUGACAACUCAUAGUCUAUUCACAGUCAGUAUUACCAUACUAGAUAUAAGUCUUAUAAAUGAAAAAACAUUAGGUAAAUAGAAGGAAUGGCUUGGGGGGGGGGUUAUUAUGUAGCCCUGGUUGGACUGGAACUCACUAUGUAGACCAGGCUAGCUCUGAACUCAUAGAGAUCCACCUGCUUCUGCGUUGUGAGUGUUAAAUUGAAUUCUUAUGUUUAAUAUUUGUAGUGUAGAAGAUACUCAGUAAUAAGCAAUAUCCAAUAGUAGCUGAAAAAUUGACUCUGUAGUCUUCAUUGUGGAUUUUUUUUUAACUUUUCUGUGGAUAGUCUGUUGUAUAACAGAUAUUAAUAGUAGCUUUUCAGGUUUCACUCUUGUUGAUGCUUUAUACUAGAAAUGCUCAUGGUUAUUUAGUGUGGUGUUUAACAUGCUGUGCUGCUUGAUUCUCAUAACCAAUCAUUUUUCAAAAUGAGUUACAUAGACAGUUGUACCUUCUCCUCCUGGUAGUCAAGGUGAUUUAUCUGGGUUCAGUGUCAAAUAGCUAACAGAUAAAUCAGACAGACCUGGACUCUAGAUUUUAUCCAGAGGUGCCCUCCUAGUUCUGCUCAUUGCUCUUCUCACUAUAUGUGUUUGUAUAAGUUUAUGGAUAUUCAUAUUAUAUUCAUAUAUUAUGAAUAUAAUAUAUGAAAGGUCAGCUUCUGAUCAGCGUAAAUUUACUAAUAUAAUAAAAACAAAUUUACUUAGGCUUAACUUUAUAGUUUAAUUUUUGCUUAUCCUUGGAUUAAUAUAAACAAUUCAUACAUACCCUGAUUUGCUAAUAGUGAGUGAAUGAGUAUGAACAUCUGUAAAAUAUUAUAGUUAAAUUUAUAAUUUUUUUAAAAAAAAUCUCGCUUUUCAGUAAUCAUCGUUUGUUUUGCAAUAACUUAGUUAAAAAUAAAGUUAGUGUAAAAAAAGUUCCUUCAAAUCCUGUAAUGUUUUAUGCACUUGUUUUUCUGCCACAGGUAUGUUAUCUAAUUUUUUCUUUUUAGAAUAUUAAUUUGUUGAGCAGUGGAAUUUAGAAAUUUAAAUAGGUCUCCAGUCAGGAGAUUUUAGUUCAUGAAAUCCAAAACCUUGUUGCAAAUCUCACACAUACAGAAAGGUAGUUGUUUUUAACUGUUAAGUGUAAUUACCUGGGACAGUUACUCAGCGCUUAGGUCCCUUGGCAUUGCCCCUGCAAUUCUGAUUCAGCAGAUUUGGGGUGGGACCUACCAGUCUGCAUUUUGAAAAAGAGUGAUAGUGAAUUAAUAAGUUAGGUAAAAUUUUAACAUUAUUAAAAAUCCUUUUAUGAUUCUGGAGGAUAUCAUUGGUGUAUUUUGUCCAUAGUCAAAUUUGUGUUUGUAAAUAGUUUUGACUGUUGUAGAAAAGUUUGAUUUGUUGGCUUGGGUAGUUUUUGUGACAAUUGUAAAAACUGAUAGAUAGAAAAUCCUCUCUUAUCUGUGUGUGCAGAGUUGUCUUGUAGAAGCUCUAUCUGUGGUUACUUAUUAAGCACUCUAAACUCUCAGACAGUGUUCUUUCUUAUUUUCAUGUCUAAAUAUCUGCUGCUUGAGAGGAUUUGAACACGGGUUUCUUUCUCUAAAAGUAAUUCAUGUUGUAUCAUAGUUUUGCAUUUUUAGGCUUUAGUCUACCUCUGAUUUUAUUGUUAAUCGGGGAAAGUCCUUCUAACAAAUGGACUUAAAUGAGUAGAUAAAUAGUUACCCUUUUAAAUUUCAUUUAGCAAACAACUGCUUCAAAAAUAGCAUGUUAGUGCUGAUGUUCUUACAGAAUAUUGAUACUAGGUUGGGUAACUUACCAACUGUACACCAAAACAAAAGUUAGUAUUGUUUCACUUACACAUUAGUAAUUUGUGUAGCUAGGUAAGCUCCAUUUCAUCUUCGUGUUAAGGCUGCUUUAACUGUUGCAUACUAUAUAUGAGCUAACUGCCUUUAAUAACUUCAUGAUUAAAAUCAGUCUUCAAGUGUGAUUAUUUUGUUCUAUGUAUAUCAAUGUAAUAAAUAGCCCAUGCACUAAAAUGAAAGUAGUUUCAAAGCCCAUUUCAAGACUACAGAACUUGUUUUUAUUUUUAAGACUUAGCUUACUGGUUGAGCCUUAGGGAGCAGUUAGGAAUCAUGGGGUAUAAUUUACUAAUGACUAUGGAAAUCCAAAUUAGUAUUUUUGGCAGAGUGAGAAGACUUCUCCCUAUAGUCUCUUAAAGCUGUUGUCUGUUGAAUUUUCCAAAAACAAUGUUAACUAAAGAAUAUAUGAUUUUUUUGAAUUACUUUUUUGGUAAGAAAAUUAUUUGAUAUUUGUAAGUAUAGCAACUUCUAACAUUGUGGUUCCUGCCAGUCUGGGAUUCUGAUUUUGUAUUAAUGUUACUGUCACCUAGGCCUCUAGAGACAAGGAGCAUACUUUUGAAUGGACCACUGCUUGCUUACACUGUGAAAUCUGAGAUUAUACUCUUCACUGAAAACUGGUGUGACUACUGGACAAACCUGAUAAAUUUAAGAAUAAAAUGUAUGUUUUCUGAAAAGUCAAUCUUAGAAAGGAUUUGACCAUUUAACUUCAAAGGAGCUUUUGCAAUAAGUGUAUCGCUAGCAAUGUCGAUCUUUUCAGUUUAUUAACGCAUAACAUUCUCCUGCCCCAAGGACUAAUAGUCUUGUUUUCAAAGUUUUGCAGUUCUUUUGCUGUAUUCUACUUUUCAUAUUUGUUCUAUAACCUGUUGUCAUUUUUUAAAAGAAAAUAACUGAUAUUUCUUCGAUAAAACAUUUAGUAGUUCCUCUUUUUUUUAUGAUAUACAACUUAUUCUGGAGGCCUUGGAUUAAGUAAGUAACCUAGUGUUACUUAAAGUGUGUUUGAAAACUCUGAUUCUUAGAAAUAUUAAGAGUUUGAUGUGAGGAAAGGGGCAGAGCUGAAAUCUAAGAUGUACUGUUUAUUCAGUUUUUCCAUUUGGGAUUUCUUCACUUCUUUAAUGUGAGAAUAUGGAUAGAACCUAUCCAGAUGUGUUCAGUGUCUGCUUCUAUUUCAUAGACCACCUGAGUGGAGCACCUCUCUCAUCUGUCAGUCUUAAUAUGCUCCUAACCAGGGUCACUAAUUUGUAUGAUUGCAGGAGGUACUAUUCAUAAAUAUAACAUCAAACAGAUUCUGUUUUCUGGAGCUAAGCAGUGCUGUAUGCACAGCAAUGUUGACUAUCUUUGGAGACCGUUGAAUGGUCUGUUUCCCUAUUCCCUUUGUUGUGAUUUCAUACAUGGAUUUCUUCUGACCUGAGAAAACUCUGGGUCUUCUGGUCCAAGUAUGCCUAUUAUUCAAAGCUCAGCACCUGCCCACUCCUUGUUAUUCUUCAUUUAUUUGUCUAUCUGAAUUCCUCCUAAGUUUCCAUUCUUGGCUAUACAGUUACUGGUUUUGUUUUUAAGAUUUAUUUCUCUUUUUACUUACAUAUAUUUGUGUGUGCCUGUGUAAGUUUAUGUGCCCCAGGUGUGUGGAAGUGCCCAUGGAGGCCAGGGAACAGUUGGAUCCCAUUGAGCAGUUUGAGCCAUCUGAUAUGGGUGCUGAGAACAGAACCCAGGUCCUAUAGAAGAGUAGCAAGUGCUCCUAAAUACUGAGCCAUCUCUCCAGCCAAAGCUAUACAUUCACUUAUGUUAUAUAUUCCCUUUCUGUAAGAGUUUUCAUAUGGAGAAGUUGAGAAAUGUGUUCAUUGAAGAUGUGUAGACUUGUAGACAACAGAUGUUCAGUCAAUGUUUUUUGCAUAUUGAUUGUGUGUCUUUUGCUAAGGUAUAGCUUGCAGAAAAUUGAGAAUUUCUGAAGCCUAUUUUAUCUUUGACUUUUAAACCCCACUCCUUUUGCUUCAAGGGACAGUCGUUUUAUUACUGGAAGAAUGAUUGAUUCCUUUUCAUUGAAUAUUACUAGGACAAUAGAAUUUACUCUAUAUAGGGAGUAUUUUCCAUUUGUAAACAGUGUGGUAUAUUUGUUCUUAUUAGACUUUAUUCUGAUUCUAAAAAGUAAUUACUGUUAAGAUUUAUAUUUUUAAUUAAAACAUGUAUGAAACUCAAUUCUCAAAGAAUUAAUAAAAAUAAAAAAACAAGUUAAACUAAUUUCAUUUUGGGCAUGUGCCAUUUUUAUCUUUCAUUUUGGAUUAAUGUUGAGGUGUGCUUCCUGGGUCUAUAUAUAAUCCAUUGGAAAUAUGCAUGGUGUAAAAGGACAUACUUUAAAGCAUAUAUUAUAGCUUGUAAUUUAAAUGUUAUAUUCUUGCAGUUCCUGUGUAUGGAUAGGACUGCUUGUAGAGCUGCAAUGGGUUAUAGUUACAGGCUCUACUGUUUUGGAAAGGGGUUUUGAACUGAAAGUGAAUUGUUAGUUCAUGACUUAAUGUUCAAUCACUGUGGACAUCAGAAAGAAGUACAAGGAUUCAUUCUGUUAAAGUUGAAAAGUACUCCACCUGCCUUCAGGUCAGGAAAGACCACAUCUGUCAAUUCCACUGAAUGUUCCUUAUAUACACACAAUAUUAAUUUCAACGUUAAGUGUUUAUAUAAAUUUACCAUGUAAAUCAUCACUCUCAAGAUACUUGGGGGAGCCGCGCAUUGGUGGUGCCUGCGUUUAAUCCCAGACUUGGGAGACAGAAGCAAGCGGAGCUCUGAGUUCAAGGCUAGCCUGGUCUAUAGAGGGAGUUCCAGGACAGGCUACAAAACAAUACAGAUAAACCCUGUCUCGAAAAACCAAAGGGGGAGAAAAAAAGAUACUUGGGGGAAACCAUCCACUUUCAGUAACUAGCAUAUUGUGCUAUUAUUUGUCUAUUUUAAAUUUUAAACAUGCAAUUUUGAAAAGGUUUUAAGGAUUUAUAUUUUGUUUAUUAUUUUCUUUAAAAACUUAUUUUUGGUGUGUACCCCUAGACACUCCCUGUACGCUGCAUUAUAAGAUCUCUAUGCAGAUGCUUUGCAGCCUCUUUCCUAGCCAUCCACCAUGGUGGGUGGAUGAAAGACCUGAGCUAACAUGGGGUUAGCUCGUUAAACAACUACAAUAAAGCCUUGUGCAGGUUGCAUCAAAAAAUUAUUUUUGGACAUUAUCCUAUGUAGUUCCAAUUUAUUAUUAUUAUAUUUAUGCCACCCCCUUUGCCCUCUGUUACCCCUUCCAUUCCUUCCCAGCGAGUCUGCCAGUGAGAGAAAAUCUUCAGCACCCAUUAACACUCAGGAGCUUCUCAGGAAGGUAUGGUCCUCUUGGAUACCUUUUCUCUUAUGAUAGGAUGUGGAAGGGCCAAAUCCUGUGCUAUGUUUCAUGAUUGCAGUAGCAUGUUUGGAUGGUAAUGCUUUAUGGAAUUCCUUCCCGUCCUCCAGCUCAAAUUGUUUCUUCCUCUUCUGCAGUAUUCCUUGGAUGUGUGUGUGUGUGUGUGUGUGUGUGUGUAUGUAUGUAUGUAUGUAUGUAUGUAUGUAUGUAUGUAUGUAUGAGAGAGACAGAGACAGAGAGACACACCCUUUUUUUAGGGCUCAGGACACAAAAGUUACUUAUUCUCAGCAUUUGACCACGUAGAAGUCUGCAUGAACUAUCACCCUCUACAUCGAGGAGCAGGAUGAGUGCCACACUGGUUCAUGGUUAUAAAACUAAAAAUUUAGAAGGCAGUUUGACCACACGUUCAUUUAGGGACGCAGUGGUAGUGUGUCCCCUUCAUAGGACGAUGACCUCCUUGGGCUUUUCAACAGUUUUAUAGUACCAGGUAUUCCAUCAUGUAGAACAGGCCUCCGGUCCAAUUACAAAGCAGUGGGUUAUCCCCAAAUAGUUAGUUGUGCUAGUGUUGAACCAGUGGGCAUAUCUUGCUUGGCUGGUCAGUAUUGUAGCAUACAUGGUCUACAGCUAAAUGUGACCAUUGAUGUCUUUCCUGACCAGUAUAUAUAGAUAUGAUUUGAUAAGGUGUUAUAGAAAGUAUUGACACUUGAUCUCGCUAUAACUUUACAGUUUUAAUCAUAAUAUAACUGAAAGUGAUGCAUGGGAGUGGUUUUGUUAGUGGAAAAUAAAAGGGAUUUGAAGGCAGCAGUUAAUAGUAUCAGCAAAAGUAAACUGGAUAAAAGCAGUAAGUUUUGAUCUCUUUGUACCAGAAUACACACAGGUGCUAGUGGCAUAUACAGUAUCUGCCUGCUGAUGCCUAGAGUUGUGUGAAAUCACCCUUUGCUAUAGUUCUCUCCUUUUCUCGAUUCCUGCCCAAAGUCAACUGAGUCAUGCUGUGUAACUACUCCCUUUUGUGCCUUUAAAAUGUGCUCAUGAACUUCAGAUAAUAUGUGUAUGCUGAGGAACAAGAUCUCUCCGCAUCAGACUCCAGGUCAGCCGGUCCCCUUUACACAGCAGAUUUAGGGUAAUGGUUGGGUUGUGUUGCCUUUUGAGUUUGAACAACAUUCUUGUGUGUGUAGAACACUGGGACCCACCUGAUUUCUCUGUCUUGGUCCUCUUGCUCAAGCAUUUCAGUGUAUUGCUAAUGAUAUUCCUAUGUGUGGCCACCUGUAAAACAUUCACUUUGCUUUUUCCUCUGUGAUAUUUCAUUGACUCCAAGUUUAAGUUUUGUCUUGUCUUUGCCACUGCAAACCUUAGUGACUUUGAGUGAAUGAAACACUUGAGUUUCUUUGUCACCUCCCAGAAAAGUGUAAAAAGGCAAAUAUUUUUUAAAUAUUCUCUUUUAAGUUUAGCUUUCAAAAACCUUUAUUAAACUUAGACCCCUUGUUUUUUCCCUAACCUUUAAUUUUCAAAUUUUGUUAACUCUGCCUUCUAACUUCAUUAUUUGAUUUUUCAUUUGUGAAAAGCACUAUUUGGUUCCUGAAGAAAAAUAUGUUCAUUGAAAACCUAAGUUGUCUAACUUCAUUGGAAAUUGUGUGUAACUAGCAUUAAUUCAGCUCCCUGUUAAGCUUGCACUAAAAAAUGUGAAUAGUGAGUUCCUUAUAAACUCAGAGGAAAAAAAAAAGUUCAUACCAAAAUGUUGUAAAGAGUUGGGAUAGCCUUACAUCAGAACUCAAGAUUGUCACGGUCAACAACAUGAUGUUUACUUCACAGUGUUGUACCUUAAUAAAACAGCAAGAAAAAUUUUACAUUAUGAUUAAAAAGGAACACAAACAAGCUAAAUCAAAGGUAUUGAUAUCAGUUUAAGACAUUCUAACUAUGGAUUUCAUAGUUAGAUCGGACAAGUACCACCACCACCACCCCUUUUGAAUCGGAAUCUUCAAGACUUUCUUCCUGAGCCAGAGAACUGUCCUGUGCUAGACAGCAGGCACACCUAACAGCUGAAUGAGGUUCUCCCUAAGCUGAAUGCUAAACAGUGAUAGGAACACCUAAUGGCUACUCAGUUUACAUUUCAGAGUUCCCCAAAGGCUCCAGGUGUGGCACUGUGACCAUCUUCCUCAUCCAUCGUGAUUGUAGAACCCUCACACGGAGGCACACAGCUGAAAACCAAGAUACACUCUUUAGUGGAUGCAUGCAGAUCCUAGCCACCCCUCAUUCAGCUGCUAGGACACUUGCUGGCUAGCAUAGGAGAGCUCUCUGGCACAAGAGGAAACAUGGGAAGAUUGUGCUUUGCCUGUGGUCAAAAAAGC
rnacentral:lncRNA from 1 species